AGUGAACGCUGGCGGUAGGCCUAACACAUGCAAGUCGAACGGCAGCACAGUAAGAGCUUGCUCUUACGGGUGGCGAGUGGCGGACGGGUGAGGAAUACAUCGGAAUCUACUUUUUCGUGGGGGAUAACGUAGGGAAACUUACGCUAAUACCGCAUACGACCUACGGGUGAAAGCAGGGGAUCUUCGGACCUUGCGCGAUUGAAUGAGCCGAUGUCGGAUUAGCUAGUUGGCGGGGUAAAGGCCCACCAAGGCGACGAUCCGUAGCUGGUCUGAGAGGAUGAUCAGCCACACUGGAACUGAGACCCGGUCCAGACUCCUACGGGAGGCAGCAGUGGGGAAUAUUGGACAAUGGGCGCAAGCCUGAUCCAGCCAUACCGCGUGGGUGAAGAAGGCCUUCGGGUUGUAAAGCCCUUUUGUUGGGAAAGAAAAGCGGCAGGUUAAUACCCCGCUGUUCUGACGGUACCCAAAGAAUAAGCACCGGCUAACUUCGU
rnacentral:rRNA from 1 species